rnacentral:rRNA from 1 species
UUGACCUCGGAUCAGGUAGGAAUACCCGCUGAACUUAAGCAUAUCAAUAAGCGGAGGAAAAGAAACCAACAGGGAUUGCCUCAGUAACGGCGAGUGAAGCGGCAACAGCUCAAAUUUGAAAUCUGGCCCCAGGCCCGAGUUGUAAUUUGCAGAGGAUGCUUUUGGUGCGGUGCCUUCCAAGUUCCCUAGAACGGGACGCCAGAGAGGGUGAGAGCCCCGUACAGUUGGACACCAAGCCUUUGUAAAGCUCCUUCGACGAGUCGAGUAGUUUGGGAAUGCUGCUCAAAAUGGGAGGUAUAUUUCUUCUAAAGCUAAAUACCGGCCAGAGACCGAUAGCGCACAAGUAGAGUGAUCGAAAGAUGAAAAGCACUUUGAAAAGAGGGUUAAACAGCACGUGAAAUUGUUAAAAGGGAAGCGCUUGUGACCAGACUUGCGUCCGGUGAAUCACCCAGCUCUCGCGGCUGGGGCACUUCGCCGGCUCAGGCCAGCAUCAGCUCGCUGUCGGGGACAAAAGCUUCAGGAACGUAGCUCUCUCCGGGGAGUGUUAUAGCCUGUUGCACAAUACCCUUCGGCGGGCUGAGGUACGC